rnacentral:tRNA from 12 species
CAUAGCUCAGUCGGUAGAGCGUUGGCAGCUAAAGCCAAAGGUCGUGGGUUCGAUCCCCACUG